GACGAACGCUGGCGGCGUGCCUAAUACAUGCAAGUAGGACGCAGUUGCGAACGGGCGAGUAACGCGUAGGUAACUACCUAUUAGAGGGGGAUAACUAUUGGAAACGAUAGCUAAUACCGCAUCCUAGUAGAUGGACCUGCGCUGUAUUAGAUAGUAGGUAGGGUAAUGGCCUACCUAGGCAACGAACCAUAGCCGACCUGGGAGGGUGGUCGGCACACCUGGGAAUGGGACACGGGCCAGACUCCUUCGGGGGGGAAGAUUGGGGGAACUUCGGCAAUGGGGGGAAACCUGACCGAAGCACGGCGGGGGGGUGGAGGAAGUUUUCGGGUCGUAAAACUCUGUUGUUAAGGGAGCGGUACUUAACCAGAAAGGGACGGCUAACUACGUGCCAGCAGCCGCGGUAAUAC
rnacentral:rRNA from 1 species